UACGUAGGGGGCAAGCGUUAUCCGGAAUCAUUGGGCGUAAAGCGUCCGUAGGUGGCGUUUCAAGUCUGCUGUCAAAGCACAAGGCUUAACCUUGUAAAGGCAGUGGAAACUGAAAGAGCUAGAGUGCGGUAGGGGUAGAGGGAAUUCCCAGUGUAGCGGUGAAAUGCGUAGAGAUUGGGAAGAACACCGGUGGCGAAAGCGCUCUACUGGGCCUGCACUGACACUGAGGGACGAAAGCUAGGGGAGCGAAAGGG
rnacentral:rRNA from 1 species